AUGAGAGAUUUCCUGCAGUCUGACUUCAACAAUCAGUUUGAACAAAUGAAUUUGGAGACUCGUUUGAACCUUGCAAUUGCUUCUCAAAUUACAGCCCUGGACUAUAUUAAGGCAAAUCGGCAGCGGAGUCGAAGCAUGGCUUCCCUGAAAGAGAUAUUUUCAAAGGUGAAUUGUCUCCUUACACCAGGUACUGCAUGCUGUGCACCAGUAAUCCAUGAAUCAGACCUCCUUACUGGAUGUAGUGAUGUUCAGACAACUCUGCGGACCAUGAAAUACAUGCAGUUGGCCAACUUGACAGGCAUUCCAGCCCUAGUGGUACCAGUUGGAUAUACAAUUUCAGGGCUUCCCAUCAGUUUACAUAUGAUGACUAAGUGGUGGAAUGAAGCGUUGCUGUUCCAAAUAGGCCUGAAACUGGAGCAAUUUCAUGGGCUCAUAUGUGCUGUUGUGCACUGUCAUCUACCCAAAGUUUAAUCAUCUUGACCAGAGACAUGUAAAAAAAUUAAUUAAAGCAAGGGAGAGGCAGCUAUUAUGUGGCAGAAGGUUUAGCUGGCAUUCCAAGGCAAGUUACCUGAUCCAGGCUGUAAAACCCGAGAGGCCGAGGUAAGAGUGCUAUCCAAUUUUGUGUUGCCAUCUAGUAGCCAUCUACAUGUUUGCUGUUCACAUUUGGUAACUCUUAAUUCACAGAACUGAGUGUUUUCACAAAAUAGCUGUUAUGGUCAGUCACAAAACGUUCAGAUCACAGAACGAGUUCUUGCUUUUAUCCCUAUUUCUGGGCCUAUAGAUAUACCUUCAAAAAGAGGGACUAAGUUUUCUUUCCAAGAUGCCUUUUAAGAGCGCUGAACAUUCUUAUAAGUUACUCAAGGCUAGUAGUUUGCAGAGGCUAGGCUCAUUUACCAGUAAUUUUUUAAUUAAAAAUACUGCCAAAGAAGAUGGCCAUGGGCCCCACUUGGAUUACUCUGUUACAGAACAAAGUAUUAAAAACUUGUGUUUAUCUGUGAUUAUAAUAAAUAAAGGAAAAUACCAGUGUUUUAAAAUUCCAAUUCUAUAUAAAAUGCAAAAUGAAGGAUGCAGUACAACAUUGAAAUUGUGAGUACUCCAACAUUGGAGGAUUUAAGAGAUUAGACAACCAUUUAUCUCAAAUAGUAUAGGGUCUCCUGUUUGAACAGGGGGUUGGGCUAGAAGACCUCCAAGAUCCUUUCCAACUUUGUUAUUCUGUUAAAUACCAAUAUAAAAGGUGUGCUAAAUUCUUUUAUCUUCCUUGCUUGCCUACUAAGGAAUCCCAUGCAAAAUAGACAUAACAUGCAAUUUGAGAAUACAGGUAAUCCUCGAGUUAUGACAGUGACCAUUUGAAGUUACACCAUAACACCCCCACCCCCAUCCUGCUCUCUCAGACCUUCCAAAAAUCUGUCUCCCCUCUCUGCCAUGGUUUCUUUGCCUUUGAGAGGGAGAGAGAGAGAGAGUAGGACGAUUUUGUUCCCAGUGCCCGAUUGCCUUGCAAAUGCUUUUUGUGCUGAGUGGAAUGUUCUGGGGUCCAUGAUCUUGUGCAACUUCAGACACCCACCUGCUUUUGCAGAGAAUGGGUAUACCUGAAGUCAUGUGAGAUCACAGCCCCCAGAACAUUUCUCUCUCAGCGUGAAAAGCAUUUGGAAGGUGAUCGGACACUGGGAGAGAAAUUGCAUUGCUUCCAGCAUCUGGUAGGCUUGCAAAUGCUUUUCACGCUGGGAAUGAAAUGUUCUGGGGGAGUGUGAUCACAUGUGACAUCAGGCACCCAUCCGCUUUUGCAGAGAAUGGGUGCCCGAAGUUGCAUGUGAUCAACCCCCAAGAACAUUUCACUCUUGGCAAAAAGCAUUUGCAAGCCAACUGGACGCUCGGGUGGAAAUCAUCCUGCCCUCCUCUCCCUCAACGGCAAAGAAACUGCAGCAGAGGAGACAGAUCUUUGCAAGGUGUGCGAGUCCGGCAUGGCAAGAUGGGACAGGAGAAGCUCCCCCACAGCCUUCCUUACCCUGAGAUACCUCUUGCCAGUGACCACACAUUUGAUUAGUGAAUGUGUGGGUAAAAGCAGAGAACGAUCGCAUUCAAGUUACGUGAUUCACUUGUUGAAUUACAAAUGUAAUUGACAGGCUCCAUUACAUAACUCGAGCUUUACCUGUAUAACUCAAUGGGCAAAACAUGAUUUUGGCUAUUGCACCAGGUGAUGUUGAAUAAUAUUUUAUUUUAUUGCUCUAUGUGCUUGAAGGUGUUAUUAAAAUUAUUCUUUAAAUGUGAGGGGGCUGGAGUUUUCUGUCAAGUAAAGAAGUUUAAAACGAACUGAACGGCACCAUUACCAUUUCAGUGCUUUAAACGUAAAAAAAUUGGCAAGGUAUUUUUUUUAUAGCAUGAUCUUUUAAAAAGUCAGUGACCAUAAAAAGGGAUCCAGGAAGUUGCCCAUGUCUUGUCCACAACUGUAAGCAAUGGCCACCUUUGGCUAGAUGUAUAGCAAAUGGGCAAGCCCUAUACAUAAAGCCAACAGUGUUAUGGUGGCUAACCUGCUUGCACAAUAGAUAAAGGGACCACACAUACAAUGCUCUUGCUUCACAUAGAUAUAUGUUGAUAUACAGUAUAUACACAAUGAUGUCUUUAUAUAAAAUAACUUUGUUUAUAAAGUGACAUUUAACUGCCACUUGGCCCUUCCCUACCCCACAAAAAACAGUAGUAUACAAAAUAUAAAAUAUUUUUUUUAAAUAUUUAUAAACAGUUGCAAGGAAAAAAAAUAUAACUGUAUGAAAAUA
rnacentral:lncRNA from 1 species